AUGCACACUCACGUGGGGUAGUCAUGGCCCGAAUUGUUAAGCAGCUUGUGGAGCUCCCUUGUUAACCCCUAAAGUCGGUAUACAAGCAUGCAUUCAAGAAUGACUCCGGACCUUGGGAAAUCAAGUUGUGCUCGGGAAUUGAAAUCGCUCUUCCAAGGAUCUGGACAAUGCUCCACUGGUGUGAGUCACCAACGGAUCUAUCACCCCACUGGAUUAAUUGAACUGCAGAUGGACUUGGCAGGAGCAGAAGAUGGAGCCGUCCAUGGUGAUGAAAUCAGAGCUUUUUCACACACACGCCUUUCCACUGGCAACCUUGAAGCAAUAACAAAGUUGACACCGGUGUGCUGACAUCUUCAUUUCCCAAGUGACUACAUGAAAUAACCUUCGAGGAAAAAUAUAUGUUUGAAUCCAUACAUUUUAUUCUUUACAAUCAAGCAAGGUCUGAGGGAUGACUUAUUCUAUACCCCCAAUGUAUUACACUAACUACAAUAUUUAGAAUUACUAACCCACGAAUUAAAGUAAUGAUUAAAAUUAUUUUGGUGUUCAAUAGAUGACACUUAAAAAAUAUAGUUAUUGAGGUCCAACUUCACUAUUAGUCCAGUGGAUGUUCUGAAAGAUACUUUGUCCUAUAACAAUGUCAGAUUUUGCGAGCUUUAGUCUCUGUGUAUUACACUUAACACUAGCAUGUUGCUACACCUUCUAGAUGUCUCAAGAGGAAGACAACAGUGGUUCAUGGAGAGGAAAGGCUGAGGUUGUGACUAUUUAUGACAUCUUUCUUGGUGCAUUAUCUUCACAGUAAAUCUCCUUGGGGUAGAUGGAGUGUGUAGAGCAAGCACUUCCACCCGCUAACUCCUAACAUGUAACCAGACAUUGCUUUUAGGGCCCGGCUGUUAACAGGGUUGACAAUACUCUUUUAUAGCCUUCAGAUUGAAUAUUCCCUGAGUUCGCCUCAGUGCAGGCCAUGUCAUUACAACUGAUAGCUCCAGUAUCCACUGGGAUAGGCUGCAAGGCUUUCUGUUUUGUGUUUUUCCUUUCAGUUUAUGGCUUUCACUUUGCUUUUGUGUCUAAGAAAUUUGACUUUAGAAGACAUACCAUUGGAUCCUAAAGUAUAGUUUACAUUGAUUAUUGCAGUUUAUGGAUUUGCAAAUGUUUUAAGAUAUAGCUAUAGUAAGAUUGCACUGUGAGUAUGCUUGAAAUGUAGAAUAUGUUUCAUAAUGAAUGGAAAUAAAUGCUGGAUCUAAACAAAUAAA